rnacentral:misc_RNA from 1 species
GAAAUGCGAUACGUAAUGUGAAUUGCAGAAUCCAGUGAAUCAUCGAAUCUUCGAACGCACGUUGCGGCCCUGGGUAUUCCCAGGGCCACGCCUGCUUGAGUGCCAUUUAUAUACCUCAUUCUCUGACUUGUUUGUCAAAGAAUGGAUUUGAGUUGUCGGAUCUUUUCAGUAAGGUCCGUCACUUGAAAUGUAGAGGUCGAUAACGCUUUAUCCUCUAAGUACAAGCGUGGUACGCCUUAUUGCAAGGCAAAUCCUAUCCGCUUGUGCGUUAUAAAAGAGGGUAACUAGCUCAAGACCCCAACAACCAAACCUUUAUAAUCUUGGCCUCAAGUCAGACGAGACUACCCGCUGAAUUUAA